rnacentral:rRNA from 1 species
CGGAAUUAUUGGGCGUAAAGAGCUCGUAGGUGGUUNGUCACGUCGGAUGUGAAAAUCUGGGGCUNAACCCCAGACCUGCAUUCGAUACGGGCGAGCUAGAGUGUGGUAGGGGAGACUGGAAUUCCUGGUGUAGCGGUGGAAUGCGCAGAUAUCAGGAGGAACACCAAUGGCGAAGGCAGGUCUCUGGGCCAUUACUGACACUGAGGAGCGAAAGCGUGGGGAGCGAACAGGAUUAGAUACCCUGGUAGUCCACGCCGUAAACGGUGGGCACUAGUUGUGGGAACCUUCCACGGUUUCUGNGACGCAGCUAACGCAUUAAGUGCCCCGCCUGGGGAGUACGAUCGCAAGAUUAAAACUCAAAGGAAUUGACGGGGCCCCGCACAAGCAGCGGAGCAUGCGGGUUAAU